UCCAUCGCUAUCGAAGUGACGAAAAACUAUCUGAAGCUCUUCUUCUUUUGGGGGCCUGGAUUGUUUUGAGUGAGAAGAUCUGGGUUUUGAGCCAAUGCGAUGGAGACUUAUUAGCUUGAAACCUCGGCUGCUGGGGAGCCAUUUAGAAGGCUUGGAUACGCUAGUAUUUGCCAUGAAGUUUAGAGUUGUUUGCGAGCAAGAAAGAAAAGGCUAGCUAUAUACUGCUGGGUAGAGGAAAAG
rnacentral:misc_RNA from 1 species